rnacentral:rRNA from 1 species
AUUGAACGCUGGCGGCAGGCCUAACACAUGCAAGUCGAGCGGAUGAAGGGAGCUUGCUCCUGGAUUCAGCGGCGGACGGGUGAGUAAUGCCUAGGAAUCUGCCUGGUAGUGGGGGAUAACGUCCGUAAACGGGCGCUAAUACCGCAUACGUCCUGAGGGAGAAAGUGGGGGAUCUUCGGACCUCACGCUAUCAGAUGAGCCUAGGUCGGAUUAGCUAGUUGGUGGGGUAAAGGCCUACCAAGGCGACGAUCCGUAACUGGUCUGAGAGGAUGAUCAGUCACACUGGAACUGAGACACGGUCCAGACUCCUACGGGAGGCAGCAGUGGGGAAUAUUGGACAAUGGGCGAAAGCCUGAUCCAGCCAUGCCGCGUGUGUGAAGAAGGUCUUCGGAUUGUAAAGCACUUUAAGUUGGGAGGAAGGGCAGUAAGUUAAUACCUUGCUGUUUUGACGUUACCAACAGAAUAAGCACCGUCUAACUUCGUG